AACAUUCAUUGCUGUCGGUGGGUUGUGAGAUCUGAGGAAAAACUCACCGAUGGAUGAAUGUCAC
ensembl:miRNA mdo-mir-181b-3 mdo-mir-181b-3